rnacentral:rRNA from 1 species
AUACGUAGGGGGCAAGCGUUGUCCGGAAUGACUGGGCGUAAAGGGAGCGUAGACGGUUUGGCAAGUCUGAUGUGAAAGCCCGGGGCUCAACCGCGGGACUGCAUUUGAACCUGUCAGACUUGAGUGCCGGAGAGGUAAGUGGAAUUCCUAGUGUAGCGGUGAAAUGCGUAGAUAUUAGGAGGGACACCGGUGGCGAAGGCGGCUUACUGGGCUGUAACUGACGGUGAGGCACGGAAGGUUGGGGGGCAAACAGGGUUUGAUUCCCUGGUAGUCCACGCCGUAAACGAUGAAUACUAGGUGUAGGGGGUAUCAACUCCCUCUGUACCGCAGUUAACACAAUAAGUAUUCCGCCUGGGGAGUACGGCCGAAAGGUUGAAACUUAAAGGAAUUUACGGG